UGCCACAGACUAGGAAGCAAGGGAACACCCUGGAGCUCGCAAACAGGAGAACAGAGCUCUCUGAUCAGAAGCCGCAGCCAAACUGAGAGCUCCCUUCUCCUGUUUGCAAGCUCCAGGGUGUUCCCUUGCUUCCUAGUCUGUGGUU